rnacentral:rRNA from 1 species
CUCUUUUAAUGAUUGCCCCGGAUAGGUAGGGAUACCCCUGACCUUAAGCAUAUCAAUAAGCGAAGAAAAGAAACCCCCAGGAUUGCCUCAGUAACGGCGAGUGAAGCGGCAAAAGCUCAAAUUUGAAAUCUGGCUCUUUUAGGGUCCGAGUUGUAAUUUGUAGAAGAUGUUUCGGGUGUGGCUCCGGUUUAAGUUCUUUGGAAUAUUACAUCAUAGAGGGUGAGAAUCCCGUAUGUGACCGGCAGCCUUCGCCUAUGUGAAACUCUUUCGACGAGUCGAGUUGUUCGGGAAUGCAGCUCAAAAUGGGAGGUAAAUUUCUUCUAAGCUAAAUAUUGGCCAGAGACCGAUAGCGCACAAGUAGAGUGAUCGAAAGAUGAAAAGCACUUUGGAAAGAGAGUUAAACAGUACGUGAAAUUGUUGAAAGGGAAGCGUUUGCAACCAGACUUGCACGCAGUUGAUCAUCCGGUGAUCUCACCGGGGCACUCUGCUGCGUUCAGGCCAGCAUCGGUUUUGGUGGUUGGAUAAAGGCCUGGGAAUGGGCUUCCUUCGGGGAGUGUUAUAGCCCUCGGUGCAAUGCAGCCUCCGGGACCAGGACCGCGCUUCGGCUAGGAUCGGCGUAAGGUUG